rnacentral:rRNA from 1 species
CGGGGGGCUGCAGUAGGGAAUAUUGGGCAAUGGGCGAAAGCCUGACCCAGCAACGCCGCGUGUGCGAUGAAGGCCUUCGGGUCGUAAAGCACUUUUCUGGGAGAUGAGAAAGGACAGUAUCCCAGGAAUAAGUCUCGGCUAACUACGUGCCAGCAGCCGCGGUAAAACGUAGGAGGCAAGCGUUAUCCGGAUUUACUGGGCGUAAAGCGCGUGCAGGCGGUUUGGUAAGUUGGAUGUGAAAGCUCCUGGCUCAACUGGGAGAGGUCGUUCAAUACUACCAGACUAGAGAGCGGUAGAGGAAGGUGGAAUUCCCGGUGUAGUGGUGAAAUGCGUAGAUAUCGGGAGGAACACCAGUGGCGAAAGCGACCUUCUGGACCGUUUCUGACGCUCAGACGCGAAAGCUAGGGUAGCAAACGGGAUUAGAUACCCCGGUAGUC